rnacentral:rRNA from 1 species
AACGAACGCUGGCGGCAUGCCUAACACAUGCAAGUCGAACGAGACCUUCGGGUCUAGUGGCGCACGGGUGCGUAACGCGUGGGAACCUGCCCUUAGGUUCGGAAUAACUCCCCGAAAGGGGUGCUAAUACCGGAUAAUGUCCUCGGACCAAAGAUUUAUCGCCUUUGGAUGGGCCCGCGUUGGAUUAGCUAGUUGGUAGGGUAAAAGCCUACCAAGGCGACGAUCCAUAGCUGGUCUGAGAGGAUGAUCAGCCACACUGGGACUGAGACACGGCCCAGACUCCUACGGGAGGAAGCAGUGGGGAAUAUUGGACAAUGGGCGAAAGCCUGAUCCAGCAAUGCCGCGUGAGUGAUGAAGGCCUUAGGGUUGUAAAGCUCUUUUACCCGGGAUGAUAAUGACAGUACCGGGAGAAUAAGCUCCGGCUAACUCCGUG